GGGAAUCUCAGGGCAGGAAGAAAAACAGGGGAACUGCCUGGGCCAGUUUGUCCUCUCUGCACCCUGUCUUCUCCACACCCUACCUCCAGCCUCCUGAACGAGCUGCUCAGGAAAGAUGAUUUGGACUGGAAAGGGAAGAGAAUCAAAGGGAAGCCGAAGGGCUGGUAGACCCCGACAGAAAGAUAUGCACCCUGAUGUCUGGGCAGGCAUCUGCCUUCCUACCUUGGGUCUAACUCUGGAAACUACCAGAGCAGUGAGGAGUAUUCUGCUCCACACAGUCCUUUCUCUCCUAUUGCUGGGAAGAAUGUGAAAGCAUCCCUGCUCUAAGCCCUGCUACUGCCAGAAAGGAGACAGCCUCCCAGAGGCCACAGACAGACAACUCAGUGGGGAAGUGUUCGUGCUCCCGCAGGCUCUUCAGAGUGAGGCCCAGGGAGCUGCCGACUGACUCGAAGGUGACCUUCCCUUGGAAUGAGGAGGCCAUAGCACUGACCUGUGCCUGGACUGAUGACAGAAGACCAGAUGCGACUGGGUGACUCAGGAAAUGCCUGCAUGAUGACAUGAUUAAAUAACCCCCUCUCUCUUUGGCCUCAGGUAAACCCUGGGAAUAGGCAGAGAGACACUGAAUUCAUGGAAAGUUCUUGCCUACUAGGAUAAUGAAGACUUCUGAUGGAAAUUAGGUUGAAUUCAAAUAAAACUGCAUGGAUGGCACUCCUGAAAUCUGUGGACUGAAAUCUGUGGCCUCUGCUUAUUCAUGACACAAGAACAUAAACAAUGGAGCACUUAGCAAAACGGGGUGACCUCAAGAGGCUACUCAGACUCCAAGUCCCAGGCCUUUCCUCAGGUCUGCUUGGGGCUGAUCCUGGAAGAGAACCUAGGGUUGUGCGCACUGACUUGCAGUGCACCCCCCUCACCCACUCCCAGUGAUUCCCACAGCCUGUCAAGCUAGCAGAGGCAGGAGCCCGAGGUUGCCCCAAGCGUUCACAGGCAAGGGGGAAACAACCAGCACAAUGGCUUAAUCCUCACCUCCUUCCCAGCUCCUGGGGAACUGGACCUUUUAGCAUGGACAGAAGUCUUUAAAAUAGAAAGGAUCGUGGAUGUCCAAGUAUUGCAAGAAGUGGCUUUGAGAGAAUAAGGUCUCCUGAGGCCUUGUUGUAAUGACUGGUACUUUUCCUCUACGCACAGCAUGGGCCAUCUGACCACCAAGCGCGAAGGCUUCAGCUGCGUCCCAUGAUCUUGGCCCAGUGCUAUCUGUACUGAGGGUGGGGAAUUUCAUGAGUCUCACCUCUAUAGUUGAGUCUCUGUACAGUUUUUCCAAGACUGGAGAAUGACUCCUGCUCAACAAUCCAUCCACUAAGCAGACUCCAUGUCACCUUCAGGAACAUUAGGCUUCAAAUCCCUAUGAAAAGUUUCCUCCUUUGUUGCUGGAAGACAAGUAAGCCAGACCUAGUGUCAUCUCAACCACCCAGAACAUUCCCAACUCUGCUGAAUUUGUAAAACAUCCAAAGAGCACGUGGAAUCCUCAUAGAUAGAUAUUGUCAUUGUCCCUCUGUUCUACAGCUGAGGGCAUUGAGGUUUUGGAGUGGCUGGGCUGGAAAACAGAUGAGAGAGCUUUCCCAUCUGGAAGCUGGAGGGAACUAUGCGGGCACCAGAAUUUGAACCCAUGAACACCAGAUCUUUCUGACUUCAGAAUAGAAGCAGAAAAUAAAUAACUAUAAUGAAUGAGCCAAAGGGACUCACCUAAAAUUACUUCAAAAAAUAUGCAUUUAAUGACCCUGUCCCUAUAGAAAAGAUUGACAUUCCGUCUGCUUAAUAUGAGAUUGGUAAGUCCACAUUUUCUUGCAAGUUUUUGCCUCAUGUUUUAUUUUUUCUUUCCCACAUCUGUGAACUGAUCUGUCUCUGAGAGCCCAAAAAGAGCUCCUAAGAUGCUCAUGACAUCUUCCAGAGCCUCCAGACCCUUCAUGUUUGCGGCCUCCCUCUGAAGAAAUAAGACAACUGGGGAGCCUCCUGGGAAACUAGGCAGGGCCCCAGAGAGAUCAGAGCCCUGGGGGGCUUAGUUUCUAGGAAACCUGUGCCCACAGGGGUGCUGCAGAGUGCAAGGCCAACAUCCUUUGUCUCUAAGAAGGC
rnacentral:lncRNA from 1 species